rnacentral:rRNA from 1 species
ACGGAAGGCAGCAGUAGGGAAUAUUGCACAAUGGGGGGAACCCUGAUGCAGCAACGCCACGUGUGGGAAGACGCAUUUCGGUGUGUAAACCACUGUCGUGAGGGAAUAAGGCUACUUUCCGGAGUAGUUGAAUGUACCUUGAAAGGAAGCACCGGCAAACUUCGUGCCAGCAGCCGCGGUAAUACGAGGGGUGCAAGCGUUGUUCGGAAUCACUGGGCGUAAAGGGAGCGCAGGCGGAGAUGCAAGCGGACUGUACAAUACCGGGGCCCAACCCCGGACCUGCAGUCCGGACUGCACCUCUUGGAUAGUUCAGGGGCAAGCGGAAUUCCUGGUGUAGCGGUGGAAUGCGUAGAGAUCAGGAAGAACACCGAUGGCGAAGGCAGCUUGCUGGGGACUAAUCGACGCUCAUGCUCGAAAGUGCGGGUAGCAAACAGGAUUAGAUACCCUGGUA